CGUAGCGUACCUAAUUAAAGCAUCCCGCUUACACCGAGAAAAUGUCCGUGAAAACCAGACCGCUCCGAG
rnacentral:tRNA from 1 species